rnacentral:rRNA from 1 species
UACGGGGGGAGCAAGCGUUGUUCGGAUUUACUGGGCGUAAAGGGCUCGUAGGCGGUCUGUUGCGUCGGGAGUGAAAACUUACAGCUUAACUGUGAGCGUGCUUUCGAUACGGGCAGACUUGAGGCAUUCAGGGGAGAACGGAAUUCCUGGUGUAGCGGUGAAAUGCGCAGAUAUCAGGAGGAACACCGGUGGCGAAGGCGGUUCUCUGGGAAUGUCCUGACGCUGAGGAGCGAAAGUGUGGGGAGCGAACAGG